rnacentral:tRNA from 1 species
UCCAUGGUGGCUCAGCGGGUUAAAGAUCGGCAUUGUCACUGCUGUGGCACAGGUUUGAUUCCUGGCCUGGGAG